rnacentral:misc_RNA from 1 species
UCGUACAACCUGAGGCACGGAGGGCUGUCGCUGACCUUUUUAAAGGUCGUGCACGCUCAAAGUGCUCUCACACAUCCAUCUCACCCCUUUGUGCAUCACCGCGUGGGCCCCCCCUUUUGAACUUGGUUUCCGAAGGGGGGUGUUCACGUUUUUACACACACACACGAGUAUAGAAUGUUUUUACUUUUUGCAAUAACAUGCAAUACAAUA